rnacentral:rRNA from 1 species
CGCGUAGGCGGAUCGUUAAGUCAGAGGUGAAAUCCCAGGGCUCAACCCUGGAACUGCCUUUGAUACUGGCGAUCUUGAGUAUGAGAGAGGUAUGUGGAACUCCGAGUGUAGAGGUGAAAUUCGUAGAUAUUCGGAAGAACACCAGUGGCGAAGGCGACAUACUGGCUCAUUACUGACGCUGAGGCGCGAAAGCGUGGGGAGCAAACAGGAUUAGAUACCCCCGUA